rnacentral:rRNA from 1 species
AUGGGUGGUUUGGGUAAGACUACUCUUACAAUGAAGGUUUAUGAAAAUAUGAAAAGCUAUUCGUGUUGUGCUUGGAUCACUGUCUCUCAGUCAUUUGUCAGGAUGGAGUUCCUCAAAGUUAUGAUCAAAAACCUUUUUGGCAGUGAAGCAUUGACGAAGCAACUUGAAGGGAAUGUAGUGAACGAAGUGAAUCUCGCCAACUAUCUUAGAGAAGAGCUACUUGAGAAGAGGUAUUUUGUUGUUCUUGAUGAUUUGUGGAACAUAGAUGAUUGGAAUUGGAUGAAAAGUGUUGUUUUUCCUAGAAGUAACAACAAAGGUAGCCGGAUAGUGGUAACAACACAAGAUCUUGGCUUAGCUAAGAACUGCACUUUGGAAUCUUCUAGCUCACUUAUCUACCGCCAUGAACCCUUAGAAACAAAUGAUGCCAUUAGUCUCCUACUUAGGAAGACUAGGAAAAGUGAGGAAGAAAUGAAAAAAUAUGGGAACAUGAGAAAAAUAAUUACUAAGAUAGUCAAAAAGUCUGGACAGUUACCCCUAGCUAUCCUCACAAUAGGAGGCAUGCUUGCCACUAGAGUGGUUGAUGAGUGGGAAAAUAUUUAUAACCAGCUCCCCUCGGAGCUAGAGAGAAACCGGAGCCUUGAAGCAAUGAAGAGGAUGGUUACUCUGAGUUACAACCACUUGCCUUCUCAUCUUAAGUCAUGUUUUCUGUAUUUAAGGUUAUUUCCCGAGGAUUUUGAAAUCAAAAGGAGGCGUCUGGUGGAAAGAUGGAUAGCCGAGGGGUUUAUUAUUGCCAGGAGUGGGGUGAGUGUUGAGGAUGUUGGGAUUAGUUACUUCAAUGACCUAAUCAACCGAAGCUUGAUUCAGCCAUCAAGAGUGAACAUAGAAGGAAUUGUCAAGAGUUGUCGAGUUCAUGAUAUUGUUCGGGAUGUCAUGAUCUCUAUUUCUAGAGAUGAAAUUUUUGCAUGGUCUACAUCAGAUAGUGUAACCGGCAUAGCAGUGGAUAACUUUCGUCAUGUGGCAUACCAAGGCAGUUGGAGCCCAAAUAGAGGCUUGAAUUGGAACCAUGUCCGAUCAUUGACUCUGUUUGGUGAGAGACCAAUGAAGCCGUCCCCUUCACUAUGUUCGCUUGACUUUAGGAUGCUUAGAGUCUUCGAUAUACAAGACGCCCAAUUUAAAAUCACACAAAAAGAUAUCAACAUUGUAUGGUCAUUACGUCAUUUGAAAUAUGUCAACAUCGGGUUUUCUUAUGAUUGUUCUUCCGAUAUUUACAAGAUCCCAAGAACCAUAGGGAAACUCCAAGGCUUGCAGACUUUGGACAUAAGAGAGAGCUUAGUCGCGUCACUACCAACUGAGAUCACUAAACUACAAAGCCUUCGUAGCCUCCGUUGCAGCAAAGAUAGUAUACAUGCUAGUUUAUUCUUACUUUACCCUGCAAACUGGUUCUUGUCCACAUUCUGUAUGCCUAUUCUGUUCACUCCUCCUUUAGUUAGUCUGGAAGAGCGUCGACGCCUAAUGAUGGAUUUUUACAUGGCCUGGACUGGUGGUUUUACCAGCUCUGAUGGUGUGAGGGUGCCCAAAGGGAUCAGCAACCUAAAGGAGUUAGAGAUACUAGAGAUUGUGGAUAUUGAACGGACCAGCAGGAAAGCAGUGAAAGAGCUCGGGGAGCUUAUAAAGCUAAGAAAGUUAAGUGUCACAGUAGGGGCAAGCAAGCAGAAGAGCAAAAUACUCUGUACAUCCCUUGAGAAGCUCACUUCCCUCCGCUCUCUUUGUCUCCGUGUGGAUGAUGGUAUAUCUGGGAGAAGCAAUGCAUCACUUAAGUGGUUGCAGUCUGUUUCCUCCCCUCCCCCUCUCCUGAGGAAGCUGACUUUGGAUGGAGAUCUUGAGGAGAUGCCUAUCUGGUUUGGGGAUCUGGUACAUUUGGUGAAGAUUGGCUUAUGGUGUAGCAAUCUGACAGAAGGUGGUGAAAGCAUGAAAACACUGGGCGCACUGCCUAAGCUCAUGCUGCUUGAUCUUGGUUGGAAAUCUUAUGUUGGGGAGAAACUGUUUUUUAGAGCAGAAACAUUCCUAGGUCUCAGGAGACUUGCUAUUUCGGGCCUGACGCAACUGACGGAGUUGACAUUUGAGGUGGGCACCUCGCCCCUAUUGGAAAAGAUAGAAAUCCGUCACUGCAGAUUGUCUUCGGGGAUUACUGGCAUCAAACACCUUCCAAAUCUCAAGGAGAUUUCAUUUGGUUCGUAUGGUAAAGUGGCAAGGCUUGGUGCGCUGCAACGUGAAGUGGACGCACAUCCCAACCAUCCCGCUCAGCGACUGCAGAGGGACGGGAACCACCACGACCUGGAUGAUGUAGUCCAACGAUCCAAUACUGCAGUACAAGCGGACGAAGCGAUGGAGGGGGAGGAAUUAUCUCUCCGUGACGACCCAGCAGCAGCUCGAGAGAGCUCCUCCUCGCAGGCGGUAGCCGUGACGACGAGGAGCGACAGCAGCCAAGAUUCUGAAGAUGAUUAUUGCUCCUGCAUUUCUGAGUACGACGACGAUGCUUGA